rnacentral:rRNA from 1 species
UACAGAGGGUGCGAGCGUUAAUCGGAAUUACUGGGCGUAAAGCGUGCGUAGACGGUUAUUUAAGUCGGGUGUGAAAGCCCCGGGCUCAACCUGGGAAUGGCAUUGGAAACUGGCGACCUAGAGUGCGGUAGAGGGUAGUGGAAUUCCCGGUGUAGCAGUGAAAUGCGUAGAGAUCGGGAGGAACAUCCGUGGCGAAGGCGACUACCUGGACCAGCACUGACACUGAGGCACGAAAGCGUGGGGAGCAAACAGG